rnacentral:lncRNA from 11 species
CUGUAAUAAAUAAAUGAAUAAAGAUUAUAUGUAUUAUAAUAUUUAUUAUCAAUAUUAUAUGUAUACACAAUCUAUAUAUAUAAGAGUGAUGGCAUCAUGGCGACCCACAAAACAACAAAACUACAGCCCCUCCAACCUCGAAAUUUGACAACACAACCCCAUCAUUCACGCCUCUAGGUUGAUACAACAAAAAGAAAAGAAAAAUAAAGUCCUAAUUAGAGAGAGAGAGGAAUAAUUGCUUUUAUCCAAUUGCUGCCAGUUAGAAGGCUAAGCUCCUCCAACUUGGUAUCCUAGCAACCCAAUAAAAAAUAAUAAAAAACACUAAAAAAUUAAUACAAUAAAAUACUAAAAUAACAGAAAAUAACUAAAAAUAAUACAAUAAAAAUAAAAUAUAAUAAAUAAAAAGAUAACUUACAAUAAAAUUAAUAAAAAAUGCAAAUAAAGUCAAAUAAAAAUUACACAACAAUUUUUAACCAAUACCACCACCACUUUGCCACAGCAACGCGUGGCCGGGCACAGCUAGUAUAUUAUAUUAUUACCAUAUCAUUCAUUUACAAUAUUUCAUUUACAAUAUUGGUAAAUGAAAAAACAGUACAAUAUUUAAAAAUGAAAAUAAUUUUAACCAACAUACUGUAAACUUAUCAGGAUUUCAGUGGGAAGUGUGGGCCUGCUUCUGGCCAAUGAGAUAAUCAAGUAGGAUUGUAGUUGUUGUGUGCCUUCAAGUCAUUUCAGACUUUGGGCGAGCCUAAGUCUAAAACUGAGGGCGGGGGCCAGAUAAAUGGCCUUGGAGGGCCGCAUCCGGCCCCCGGGCCUUAGUUUGGGGACCCCUGGAUUAGAUCAUGUGGUCUAGGUUAUUCAAAAGCACUUGUCUGGCUUGGAAGCCUCCAGGCUUGUCCUCCUUCAUAGGGUAUGAGCCGGUUCCCAGACCCUGCUGUGGCCCAGGAACUUCUCAAAGCCACGGCGGGGCUAGCCGAAGAUUUCGCCAACCUGUUGCAAGAAAAGGAGCAACUGCAAGCAUCCCUUGAGACAUUAGUGACCCAGCUCAGGGCUGUGAAUCAGCGGCUGCAGAAGGAGAUCCAAGCGCCCCAGGAGGUGGCCCGGCUCAGGGCUGAGAACCAGCAGCUUCAGCAAGAGCUCCAGGAGGCCAGGAGAAGACAGAGGACGGGAAACCUAAUGUUUAUGUUUCCGUGGUCUAAAAGAGUUUUCCCUAUCCAGGUCCUUGUCACUGGGAAGACCGGAGGUUGUGAAAACCAGUUCUUAAAGAAGGUCUCUGACCACCUUUCCGAUCAUUUUAUGUACCUCAAGCUGGAAAUGUACCAAGAGGGCUCCAGCCACUUCUUGGUGGUCUUCUGCCCGGUGGCAACCUCAGUGGGCAGCGACAUGGCCAACGCUCUCGAGGGUCUUGGCGGACAAGCUGAUAAGGAGAAGACCUGGCUCUGGCUCAAAAAUGGGACCCUGAAGAAGGAGACAGAAGGCCUGAUCCUUGCAGCCCAGGAGCAAGACAUCAGAACAAAUGCAAUUAAGGCCAAGAUCGAAAAAUCAGCUGAUGACCCAAAAUGUAGACUGUGCAAGGAAGCUGACGAAACCAUUGAUCAUAUCCUCAGCUGCUGUAAGAAAAUUGCACAGACAGACUACAAACAGAGGCACAACUAUGUGGCCCAAAUGAUUCAUUGGAACUUAUGCCUCAAGUACCACCUCCCAGCAGCAAAGAACUGGUGGGAUCACAAACCUGCAAAGUUCAUGGAAAAUGGAGACGCAAAGAGACUGUGGGACUUCCAAAUCCAGACUGACAAAGUUCUGGAACACAACACACCAGACAUCACAGUUGUGGAAAAGAACAAGGUUUGGAUCAUUGAUGUAGCCAUCCCAGGUGACAGUCGCAUUGACGAAAAACAACAGGAAAAACUCAGCCGCUAUCAGGACCUCAAG